rnacentral:rRNA from 1 species
CCUACGGGUGGCUGCAGUGAGGAAUCUUUGUCACUGGGCGAGAGCCUGAACCAGCCAAGUCGCGUGAAGGAUGAAGGCUCUAUGGUUUGUAACCUUCUUUUAUAUGGGAAUAAAGUGAGGUACGUGUUCAUUUUUGUAUGUCCCAUAUGAUUAAGCAUCGGCUAACUCCGUGCCCGGAGCCGGGGUAAUCCGGAGGAUCCGAGCGUUAUCCGGAUUUUGUGGGGUAAAAGGGUUCGAAGGUGGUUAAUUAUGUCAGCGGUGAAAGUUUGGGGCUCAACAAUAAGAUUGCCGUUGAAACUGGUAGACUUGAGUACAUUUGAGGUAGGUGGAAUGCGUGGUGUAGCGGUGAAAUGCAUAGAUAUCACGAAGAACUCCGAUUGCGAAGGCAGCUUACUAA